rnacentral:rRNA from 1 species
AACAAAAACAUGUCUUUUUGAUUAUAAUAUAAAGUUUAACCUGCCCAAUGAGAGAUUUAAUGGCCGCAGUAAAUUGACUGUGCAAAGGUAGCAUAAUCAUUAGUUUUUUAAUUAAAAGCUGGAAUGAAUGGUUGGACGAGAUAAAAUCUGUCUUAAAUUAAGUUUUUGAAUUUAAUUAUUUAGUAAAAAAGCUAAAAUAUUUAUAAAAGACGAGAAGACCCUAUAGAUCUUGAUAUUUUUGUAAUUAAAAUUACUUAGGAAGAUUUAAUAAUUUAGUUGUAAUAGUAUUUUAUUGGGGUAAUAAUAAGAUUUAGAUAAUUCUUUUUUAAAAAAACAUAGAUAUAUGAAUAGAAUAUGAUCCUUUAUAAAGAGAAUAAGAUUAAGUUACCUUAGGGAUAACAGCGUAAUUUUUUUAGAGAGUUCAUAUCGAUAAAAAAGUUUGCGACCUCGAUGUUG